rnacentral:rRNA from 1 species
GACGAACGCUGGCGGCGUGCUUAACACAUGCAAGUCGAACGGUAAUGCACAGCUUCCCGGGUUCCUGAGCGCAGUUCGGGUCAGUAUCCCGUGGGUCCCCUGCGUUCAGCUUUAGGAUACGCCUUGGAAACUGGGUAUAUUCCCGGAUAUCAUCCAUUGUCGCAUGUUGGUUGGUUGAUAGCUUGUGCUGUGGAGGAUGGGCCCGCGGCCUAUCAGCUUGUUGUUGGGGUAAUGGCCUACCAAGGCGACGACAGGUAGCCGACCUGAGAGGGUGAUCGGCCACACUGGGACUGAGACGCGGCCCAGACUCCUACGGGAGGCAGCAGGGGGGAAUAUUGCACAAUGCGCGCGAGCGUGCUGCAGCGACGCCGCGUGAGGGAUGACGGCCUUCGAGUUGUAACCCUCAGUCACCAGGGACGAAGCGUGAGUGACGGUACCUGGAGAAGAAGCACCGGCCAACUACGUG